UCUCCGUAGGUGAACCAGCGGAGGGAUCAUUACAGAGUUCAGGCCCCCCGGGGCAGAUCUCCCACCCCUGUGUAUUUAUACCUCCGUUGCUUUGGCAGGCCGCUGGGUUUCGACCUGGACACCGGCUCUGGGGCUGGGCUGCGCCUGCCAGAAGACCUCCAAACUCUGAAUAUCGGUGUCGUCUGAGUUUAAUACAAUUGUUAAAACUUUCAACAACGGAUCUCUUGGUUCUG
rnacentral:misc_RNA from 1 species